AGACCCGAAACCCGGUGAUCUAGCCAUGGGCAGGUUGAAGGUUGGGUAACACUAACUGGAGGACCGAACCGACUAAUGUUGAAAAAUUAGCGGAUGACCUGUGGCUGGGGGUGAAAGGCCAAUCAAACCGGGAGAUAGCUGGUUCUCCCCGAAAGCUAUUUAGGUAGCGCCUCGUGAAUUCAUCUCCGGGGGUAGAGCACUGUUUCGGCUAGGGGGCCAUCCCGGCUUACCAACCCGAUGCAAACUGCGAAUACCGGAGAAUGUUAUCACGGGAGACACACGGCGGGUGCUAACGUCCGUCGUGAAGAGGGAAACAACCCAGACCGCCAGCUAAGGUCCCAAAGUCAUGGUUAAGUGGGAAACGAUGUGGGAAGGCCCAGACAGCCAGGAUGUUGGCUUAGAAGCAGCCAUCAUUUAAAGAAAGCGUAAUAGCUCACUGGUCGAGUCGGCCUGCGCGGAAGAUGUAACGGGGCUAAACCAUGCACCGAAGCUGCGGCAGCGACGCUUAUGCGUUGUUGGGUAGGGGAGCGUUCUGUAAGCCUGUGAAGGUGGCCUGUGAGGGUUGCUGGAGGUAUCAGAAGUGCGAAUGCUGACAUAAGUAACGAUAAAGCGGGUGAAA
rnacentral:rRNA from 1 species